rnacentral:rRNA from 1 species
UACAGGGGGUGCAAACGUUGCUCGGAAUCAUUGGGCGUAAAGCGCACGUAGGCGGUUCGUUAUGUCGGAUGUGAAAGCCCUUGGCUUAACCGAGGAAGUGCAUCCGAAACUGGCGAGCUAGAGUACGAAAGAGGAUCGCGGAAUUCCCGGUGUAGUGGUGAAAUGCGUAGAUAUCGGGAGGAACACCAGUGGCGAAGGCGACUUCCUGGCCUGUUCUUGACGCUGAGGCGCGAAAGCUAGGGGAGCAAACAGG